CUGUCCCAUUCCUCGAGUUUGCCAGAACCUGUACCCUGAAGAUUAAUGAGCUCCUCAUUCCUGUAUGGCCGAAGGGGUUCUGGUGUGUUGCAUGGCAGGUAUGUCUGAUAACACCAAAAAUUAGAGAUUCAGUCUCUAUCAUGAUCCAUAAGUUUGAAUUAAAUCCUGUACGCACGACUUGGUUAAGAUUUAGUAUGUCAGUGUAGGUAUAAUGUGAGAUUAGAGAACUUCAACUAGUUUGGAUUGAGGAAUAGUUGAUUGAUUGAUAUGACAGUCUUAUUUUCAUCUAUAUAAAAACUCUAGGUUUACAUAGCCUUCUAUCCUGUCAUACUUUAGGACUGUCAUCAUAAUCCUGUAAGUCAGGAAGUUCAGAACUAUUUUGAAGAGGAACAUAUCUUAUUUAACUUGAAAAUGUAUUUUUUUUUUUUUUUGUGUAUCUGGGAAUCAUACAGUUAGGUUUAACCUAUCAGUAUGUAUUUUUUGCCUAGAAAAUUGAAGUGCAUCCUCAACCUUAGUGCUUUCUUCUGCAAUUACGUGUAAUAAGCUCUGCCAGUUCCUGUUGAGUGAUUACAAUGUUUUGCAGGCAUCAUAUAGAUUCCUGGAGUAAGGUUAAGAAAUAUGAAUACCUUGUUGCUAAAAAACACCCGAUCGUACUUGUAGCGAUGUGCUGGAUACACCCAAGAAUUGCAGACGAAACGAACUUCACCAUGUCCGGGAAUAUCUUCUAAAGCAACGGUCUUCAGGUAAAACUGGCUAUGAUGAUAGUUCUUUAUAAUGAAAGCACCUGGAACUCCUAUUGACUCAUCCAACUCAAAUGUAAUAUUGAAUGUAGCUUCUUCCACUGAUAUCCAAGUCUUGCUGGAUGUCCAGUCCAAAAUUGCUGGUUUUCCCACCUUCCCUUUUGAUCCAUUUCCUUUAAGAAUGAAAAAAAAAAAUUGUGCUUCAAUGUUACUGUACAGAAUAACAUACAUUCUGCAUUUAUUGCAUUAAGGCUUCCAAAUUAAUCCGAAGUAGUUGAUUUCAAACAUUUAAACGACUGCAGAGAAGGAACUAUCAAGGUUUUCUUAUGGUAUUUUUGCUUCUAAAUGGGAGGAAACCAGGGAAAUAAAACCUUUAGAUUUAUUCUGCUGCUUACUUUCGCAAAAUUUGUUGGUGAAAAUGGAAUAACCAGGCAUUCAGAAUUCAGGUAGUGGAGGUUCAGGAGUUAAAAUUUUGAAACUCCAGAAUAAGAGUUUGUUACUAAAAUGGCGUCGGAGGUUUAAUGAUUUUAACAAUGAACUAUGGAACAAUGUUAUAACCAUUAAAUAUAUGGUAAGAAUGAGGAGAGGUGCACUAACAGUGUAAGAGGUGUGUAUGGUGUAUCUGUUUGGAAGCCUACUAGGAGUCUAUGGGAAGAAUUUUAUGACUGUUUAAGCUGAAAGUUGGCAAUGGAAGAAGAGUGAAGAUGUGGUCAAAUAGGUGGCUAUGACACUUCCUUAAUUGAGCAGUUUCCAGAUCUUUAUGCAAUCAUAUCGAACAAGCACUCUAUGGCUGAUUUCUACUUUUAUUUAAGAAGGAACUUGGAUGACUGGGAGAUUGAUUGCAUAAAUGACUUCAUUCAACAGCUAAAACCUGUCUCUAUUUGAUGAUCAGGUGGCUGAUUCUUUGUUGCGGACGGUUAAGAAAAUGGUAAAUGUACUGUCAAAGUAAUGUUAUAAAAGCCUCUUGAGGAAAAUAGGUGGAAUCCAUGACUGUUGACCGUGGAAGAUAAUCUGGAAAUCUAUUGUCCCCGUAGAGCUGCUUGCUCCACUGCACUGUUACCAAGAAAAUAUGGUCAAUGUUCCGGAGCAUUUUUGGAGUCCAAUUGGUUACGCCAGGAAGAAUAAAACUUGCCUUACACAGCUCGUAUGCACAGCCAUUUGCUAGGGGCAGCAAACACUGCUGCAAUGCAGUUCCUACUUGCAUAUUCUGAAUACUUGACUAGAUAGAAAGCAACAGAUGUUUUAAUGAUAAGAGUGAUAACAUUGCAAAUGUAAUAUCUAGAUGCUGUACGGAUCUUUCUUUGUGGUGUGGGAAGAACAUUGUAUCUGACAUAAUAACUAACAAGUAUAAUAACUAACAAGUUUGUUUGCAUCUCUUUGCUCAGCUCUAGGGAGAAAAUGUAAAUUACCAGGAUCAGCAUGGACAUCACUAAUGAGCUCUAGGAUGACGCGUUUGCCAAAGAGCUCGUGCAUUCGAUCAAGGAAGGCAGAACCAGCAUCC
rnacentral:lncRNA from 1 species